UGCACCCUCUCCACGGGCUCUGCCUCCACGGGCUCUGCCUCCACGCGCUCUACCUCCACGACCUCUGCCUCCUGCAGCUCCAGCUCCUCGGACAGCAGCAAAGGCUACUCCCUGGGUACCGAUGAAUGCGCUGGAUCUAAUAAGAUCCAGCGCCCUCUCAGUGAGGGAUCGGGCAUGCGUGCCAACUGCAAGAGCAUCUGGCACCUCCAGUGACUGCUCCAACAAGUCCACGACCCGACGCACAACCGUCUGCAAAAAUAAUGUACAUAAAUGUG
rnacentral:lncRNA from 1 species